CAGCUACUCGAGUUCCCGAGGUGGUGUAAGCGUCGCAACCGAAAGAGGAGAGACGAGUCGCAGUGUUUUACUUAUCCAAAAAGCCCGACCUUCUGAUUCUGGAAAUUAUCAGUGUAACCCUUCUAAUGCUCGUCCCGCUAACGUCACCGUACAUGUUCUAAACGGUGAACACCCAGAAGCAAUGCAACAUGGCGGCAUCCAGCGGACAUGCCCACCCCUAACAGUGAUUGCUGCAGUUUGCUUCGUUUUGUUGUCAUGUUGUUAAUUUUAUAGUCGUUUGCUGUCGAAAUUUUCUGACGCUCUAACCGUGUAAAGAAAACCACUAACAUAUGUCGAAAAUCCAUCGUUACUGGGAAAUAAUGAUAAUUUGGAUGUAGGGUUAUUGUAUAUAAAUUAUGACAAGUUUAGUAGUCCUAAAAAUGUUGUUAAUUUAUUUUCUUAUGUUUUAAAAUCACAAAUGUAAAAAAAACUAACAAAAAAAGUGA